AGAGUUUGAUCCUGGCUCAGGACUAACGCUGGCGGCGUGCCUAACACAUGCAAGUCGAACGAGGUAGCAAUACCUAGUGGCAGACGGGUGAGUAACGCGUGGUCAACCUUCCCUUCAGUGGGGGAUAACUAGCCGAAAGGUUAGCUAAUACCGCAUACGAUCUUCGAGGGACAUCUCUUGAAGAUGAAAGGAGCAAUCCG
rnacentral:rRNA from 1 species